AGUUUCCUAGCAACCGGCGGAGCGGCUACGUCACGGUGGCAGGUUCUAAGCGCUGCUGGGCACCGUAAGGCCGCCGUGUGUACCUUCCAGCAGCUACGGGCUGGUGGAAGCGCUGCUCACAGUCAGUGUCGGUACGUCUUCGUCCGCCCUUACCCUCCUUAUCCUGCUCCAGGUAGCGGAGAUCCGCCUCCCGCCGCGCCCCCGCCACCGAGGCCCGGGUCAGAGGCUAGAGGCCGCCCGCCCCUGCGCGGCCCUUUCCCCUGAGCCCGCGGAGCCCGCCGCCCCGGGCCUCGGGGCGACGAUGCUGGAGUCCAUUCGCGUGACGGAUUGUAGUUCAUCUCACUGAGGACCUGCUUUCCCGAGCGUCAAUGACAGUAGUAAAUGGAUGUCCGACUCUGACUAUCAAUGUGUCCACUGCACGUGAGCAUUGGCUGGAGGGAAUGCUGAGGCAUGAAAUAGGUACACAUUAUUUUCGAGGUAUUAACAACCUCCAGCAGCCAUGGAACAGUUGGACUGGACGUAAAAAACAUGAGCUAAAGCCAAAUAAUCCCACAGAGGAAGGACUAGCAAGCAUUCAC
rnacentral:sRNA from 1 species